CUUGUGGCUGGGCUGGUUAAAUAGAUCACUCCCAAGUCUAGCUGAAUUGGAUCAUCACAAAUUCUAAAUUUCAUCACAACAUCUAAAUCUUUUGAUUAUGAGGCAUAAAGUCUCCCCUCACCAACCCGAAGUUAUUCAAAAAGAUGAUAGCCGGGUAAAUUAGAUAAUAUUCUAUAUUAUGUUUUAAAUUUGAAAAGGAAUAUACCAAAAGAUUCUACCUAUCAAGUUCGCGAGCCAAAAUGUCCCUACAUUUCUACAU
rnacentral:lncRNA from 1 species